rnacentral:rRNA from 1 species
UACGUAGGGUGCAAGCGUUGUCCGGAAUUAUUGGGCGUAAAGAGCUCGUAGGCGGUUUGUCGCGUCUGCUGUGAAAACUCGGGGCUUAACUCCGGGCCUGCAGUGGGUACGGGCAGACUAGAGUGCGGUAGGGGAGACUGGAAUUCCUGGUGUAGCGGUGAAAUGCGCAGAUAUCGGGAGGAACACCAGAGCGAAGGCGGCUCGCGUGGCC